AGCAUCCCCCUACCACCCCUUCUCCACACUUCCGACCUAAAACAUUUACAUAGUGGGGAGCACUUUGGUCUCGGGCCGAACUCCAAGCUCGGAGCCCUCCCUCCGGACAACACGCCAAAUACACAUUCAACUUUACCCCCUCAAUUUGAUGACACAGAAUUCAAUAGGAAGUCGAUCUCUGGUCACUUUCUCUGGGCAUUGAGUCCACUCUGAGUGAUCGGGCUCAUCACAGUGAUCUGGAAAAAACAUCUGAGAGCCUUUCAAUGAUCCGCAGGGAGACGAAUGCAGAGUCUCCAGUAUGUUACCCUUCCACAGAAAGGCUUGUCAAGUAUAGAAAUGCAAUUUCACUGAUUCAAGGCAAUUACCUUGGAGCCUCUCUCCUGAUCAGGAUGAAGAAACUACAAAGGCACAGAUGGAGGCUGACUCUUGUAAAGGAAGGAGCUUGAGGCAAAGAUCCGCAGCAGCCCCACUGAUACUUGAGUGGUUAUGUCUUAAAUCACUAAAGCGACAAAGAGGAGAGAAUCCUAAUUACCCACCAUCACUUGCAUCAUCCUCAAUUAACUGUGAAUGUGGUGGAAGAGAGAGGAAAGAGAGAGUAUGUAGUAAAUACAAAUUCAUACAGUGUGUGAAUCGUAGUGCCCCCCACUAACUUUAGUAUCUCGGGUGUUUGUCUCACUGGUUUGUCAAUGUAGUAUGUUUUACUGAAGUCACGAGAAAAGAGGAGCGCAAUGUGUGUUUUACUCAGACCAGCAUUUCUGGCCUGUUGAGGACUGUACUCAGCAAUACUUUUAUUGUUAUUAUUGUGACAGCACGCUGAAGGAUAAUAUGCAGCAGUCCCCUUCAU